rnacentral:rRNA from 1 species
GCGUAAUGAUUUGAGCACUGUCUCGGCAAUAAAUCCGGUGAAAUUGUAGUGCAAGUGAAGAUGCUUGCUACCCGCGGUUGGACGGAAAGACCCCGUAGAGCUUUACUGUAGCUUAGCAUUGAAUUUCGGUAUUGUCUGUACAGGAUAGGUGGGAGACUUAGAAGCGAGGGCGUCAGCUUUCGUGGAGUCGUCCUUGGGAUACCACCCUGACAGUACUGGAAUUCUAACUGGAGGCCAUGAAUCUGGUCACAGGACAUUGCUAGGUGGGCAGUUUGACUGGGGCGGUCGCCUCCUAAAAGGUAACGGAGGCGCCCAAAGGUUCCCUCAGCGCGGUCGGAAAUCGCGCGUAGAGUGCAAAGGCAGAAGGGAGCCUGACUGCGACACAUACAGGUGGAGCAGGGACGAAAGUCGGGCUUAGUGAUCCGGUGGUGCUGUAUGGAAGGGCCAUCGCUCAACGGAUAAAAGCUACCUCGGGGAUAACAGGCUGAUCUCCCCCAAGAGUCCACAUCGACGGGGAGGUUUGGCACCUCGAUGUCGGCUCGUCGCAUCCUGGGGCUGUAGUCGGUCCCAAGGGUUGGGC